UAAAAACAAAAUAUUUUCAGAAAUGCUUCAGCUGUUACCAAUCCGAAAAUAUGCAGAUGAUAUUUUAAAAGAAAAAGAAACCCAGCCUAUUCCUCUCCAAAAGGGCUAACUUCAAGAACCACAGGGAUCCUGCACCAAAAAACCGGCAGGAGGAAAAAAUGAAAACGAUCCGGAAAACAUCAGUAAGUUACAAGACGAAGACAAGCAUGGAAGUAGCAGGGAUGAUAAACAACAAUCAAUAUUCAUCAAAAGUGAUAGUAUAGUUACUCGAAAAGUGGUUUGCUUUUGGAAGAAAGUGUUAUAUGUGUUAGAGUAUAAUAUAUUGAAAUAUUCAGACUGGACUUAACUUUCAACACCGUUUGGAAUAUACUCAGAUAAAGUGUAGGUGUAUAAUUAAAGUGAUAUUAAAUCUGGCAUGCACAUAUAUAUGAUAAGGAAAUAUAGUUAUUGGUGAUGUUCAGAUUGGAUGUAAUUUUCAACCAAUUGAAAUUUUCAUAAAGAGAUUGAAUAUUAUUACUUGUGUGUUCGUUUCAUUCUAAUUAAAAUUUACUCAAACAGGACUAGCUGGAAUAUACAUUUGUAAUUAAUAAAGUGAAUAAAUAUAAUUAGUGGUGAGUAUGCUAUGCAACUGGUUUUAAUUUUUAACCAUUUGGAAGGAUCAAAGACAUGGUGAAGGAAUUAAUUCAUCUGUGAGAUUCAAAUCGGAUAGAAUUGUAUAUAAUUUGUGAUAAGCGCACAUUGCAUUCUAAUUAUCAACACGUAUACAAAUCAGAUUUAGUGUUCAAGACAUUUGGAAUAUACAUAGAUACAGUGCAGAAAUGUUAUUAUUGAGAAAAGUAAAUCGAUGUUGAAACAAAAUUUGUAUAUUGAUUGUCACACAGAACAAAAGCAACUGUCCACCAGAUGUUAUUGAGCUGGUGAAGUCUUUAUCGGAGAUACCAUUUGAAAAUGUUUGAAUAUUAUGUGUGUAUUAAAAUUCAUGGAGCAAAAUGUAAUUGCAAGUGACAAAAAAAGUAUAUUCUCUGAAGACAUUAUUAUCAAGAGAAUGAUUCUAGACGAUACGGGAACAUCAAAAUACUCACAACUUGUUAUUAUUCCUUUUCUGACAAGAUCAUGUUAAAGCUCGCAUUGGUUGAAUACGGAAUGUCUAUAUACAUAAUCAAUUAACGAUAAAGGCAUUCUAUCGUUCUAAAUCUUAAACUUUCACUGAACAGCAAUCGAUACGGACGAUUGUUAAACCAAUUGCUAUAAACAAGUUUAAACGAUCGUUUCACGUAUUUUCAUUAUUUGUUUCUGAUUAUUGUUGAAAGUUUCACGACGAGGUGGCUGUGCUUCUGGAAUUAAGAGUUACCUUAGUUAGGAGAUAUAUUCAAAUCAAAUUUAUUUUUCAGUACAGUUUUAAUAUACACAUAUAUAUAUUGUGAAUUAAUAUAAUUACGUGUUAUUCUAACUAUUGGAUGGAAUAUACCACUUUAUUUUUGAUUUUUAUAGCAAUUAAUAUAAAAUUUCGAAGAAGUGGUUGUGCGUUGGGUAUUGAGUGUAACGGCAGUAAUAAAAAUGUAUUCAAAUUGGAUUUAAUUUUCAAGUUAAUUUGAAAUAUAAACAGUAAAGGAAUAAUAACAAUUUACAUGUUAGUUUGAGCCCUACUAGCUCCAUGAAGUUGGAAAGUUGUCAUUUUUUACGGAGCGUGCCGGCUGGUUAGAAACUAUAAAGACAGGUUAUGUAAGCAGACCUUAAAAGACAUAAUUGGAAGCUGGUGAGAAACGGCGUAAAAUCAAACUCAGUGGUUAUCAAAUGCAAAUGCUUCAGCUGUUACCAAUCCGAAGAUAUGCAGAUUAUAUUUUGAAAGAAAAAAAAAGACCCAGUCUAUUCCUCUCCUUUAGGGCGAACUUCAAGAACCACGUAGAUUCUGCAUCAAGAACCGACUGGAGGAAGAAAUAAAAACGAUCCGAAACACAGCAGUAAGUUACAAGACGAAGAAAAGCAUGGAAGUAUCAGGUUGUUGUUGUUGUUUUCUACUGUGCAAUUUGGAAGUCAAUGCUGGCACUUAGAUGGUGUAAUUAUGGAAGUAAAGUCAGUUAAAAAACAAAUCAUAAAGUACACACGAUUUCAUAUAUUUCAGGGAUGAUAAACAACAAUAAAUAUUCAUCAAAAGUGAUAGUUUCUCGAAAAGUGAUUUGCUUUUGAAAGAAAGUGUUAGAUGUGUUAGACUGGAUUUAACUUCAACACUGUUUGGAAUAUGCGUAGAUAUAGUGAAGGAGUAUAAUUAAAAGUGAUAUUAAAUCUGGCACGCACAUAGAUAUGAUAAGGAUAUAUAGUUAUUGGUGAUGUUCAGAUUGGAUGUAAUUUUCAAGACAAUUUGAACUUUUCAUAAAGAGAUGGAAUGUUGUUACUUGUGUGUUCGUUUCAUUCUAAUUAAUAUUUACUCAAACAGGACUAUCUGGAAUAUGAUUAUAUAAAGGGAAGAAAUAUAAUUAGUGGUGAGUAUGCUUUGCAAUUGGUUUUAAUGUUUAACCAUUCGGAAGGAUCAAAGACAUGGUGAAGGAAUUAAUUAAUUUGUGAGAUUCAAAUCGGAUUUAAUUUGCAUUUCUAAAAAUAUGUUUAUAUAGAAUGGUAUUUAAUAUGUGAUAAACAUUCUAAUUAUCAACACGUUUACAAAUCAGAUUUAGUGUUCAAGACAUUUGAAAUAUACAACGAUAUAGGGAAGGAAUGUAUUUAUCACUAAUAAUCAGAUCUGAUUUAUGUUCAAUAUAAUUGGGAACAUACAUAGAUACAGUGCAGAAAUAUUAUUAUUGAUGGUGUCACAAUGGAAGUACAGCCAAGUCGUUUCAAAAAUUGCGGAAGAAAGAUGCAAACAGUGCAAACAGAUUUGAAAUAAUUGAUACUAGAAUGGAGCCUCUGAAAGCCUUUGAAGUUAUUGAUGCGUUUGUAUAAUUCAAAGGUGGAGAAAUAACAAUCAAUAUGCACGACAUCUUUCUCAAAUGGCUAUUAGAAAAGUUUACAUCAAUCUGUUUCACCUGGCAAUCAUUUGUCAUUGAUCAGAAUGGAAAAUAUCGCGAGGUUAUGGUAUGAAAUAUUACGUGCCUAUACUAUGUACUCAAACAGGAUGGAUUAAAUUUUCAAUGCAAUUAGGAUUACACAUAUAGAGAAUGAGCAUAAUUAUUUGUGAGAAGGUUUUAUAAUAAUAAUAAUAUGUAUUCAAAUUGGAUUAAAAUCUUUCAACGGAGUUUGAAUUAGAUCUAAUGACAUAAUUAUUUGUGGGUUUGAUUAUAAUUAUUUUUGUGAAUUCAAACUAGAUCUUACUGGAAUAUACGUAGACAAAGUGAAGGAAUACAGCUAUUUGUGAUAGUCAGCUCGGAUUAAUUCUGAACAAAAUUUGCAAUAUGCAAGAAUAAUUUUCAAUACAAUUUGGAAUAUACACAGACAUAAUGAAGAGAUGUAAUUAUUGGUGAUAUUCUGACCGGAUUUAAUUUUCAAUACAAUUCGGAAUAUUCAUACAUAUAGUGAAUGUAUAUUGUAAUUGAUGAUGUCAAUGUUUAAUACAGGUUGAAUUGUGAAUAGCUAUAGUAAAGGAAUAUCAUUAUCGGGCCGUCGCCGGCUUCGAAAAAGUGGUCCGGCCAUGGGACGUCGAAGGCGUCCCGCGAGUGCCGAAGGCAGGAGAAGGGGAGAACAGGAGAGGGUGUUUCCCCCUCUCGUAAGUGGGGUUUGGAGGGUCUCCCCCGAGAAAAUCUUAAGAUUUGGGAUGCCCGUAAGUACGUUUUCCUUGCAUCUUGAAAGCAUUUUCCAUUAAGAUUUUCAGUCAAUUUUAUAACAGUUUUCGAGGAUAACUAUCCAACAUUUGCGCAAUAAAUGUUGAUGUAUUUCACUUCUGAGUGUCAGCCAAUACAAAAGAAAGCAACUAUUUCGACCCCUCUGUGAGUCUCAUCAGGCGGUGACAUUAAUAAUGAAGGCUUUAUCAAGAUUCGAACUUGACAACUUGCCGUCUAUGUGAGCAACCAUACACACAUGACAAUAAGCGAGGUCAUUAGUUUCACCGUAAUGCAACCACGAUCUGUUGGUGAACCACGAAGGCUGAAAACUUCUGUUCACCGGAUUUUUCUGACCAAAGAUGCGUUCUGGAAAUUUAAAUGUCUUAGGUUGAUUUGGAAUUUCAGGUAUGUCCAUUUUGCAGCAAUACGUUAAGCAACAAGUUAAGCAUACGGUUUCAGAAUUUAGAGUAGAUAGAAACGAAGUUUGUAUUAUUUUAUAGUUGAGAUGUACGCCGGCAUUUUAUUUGAUUUAAAGCAAUUAUUUAAGAUAAUUCAAAAUAAUUAGAAGAAAUUAGCUUUCGGUUAGUUUUGUUUUAUUAUACCACGAAAAACACAAUUGUUUCCAAUUUUUUAAACAUACGAUUAUUUUUUUUCCAUCAAAGCAAUUAAUAUAGAUUAUAAAAAAACGCCCUUUAGAUCAUACCAGAUUAAAAAUAUAUCAGAUAAUCGUUUAAUUAUGAUUAAUUCAAUCAAGCAGAGUCGAUACUUUUGACACAACAUGUGCCGAAGUUUUCACACCCCGCGGGCAAUCAUGACAGAUAUCGCUCGUUGCGGAUAAUUAGCAAGGCAAUAUUUCGGCACUUUUAAUCUAAGCAAAAGCUGAAAUUUUAUACGAAAUAAAAAGGUACGGCCGAUAUCAUGCUCGGCCAAAAAAGUAUCUAAAAUAAUCAUG
rnacentral:lncRNA from 1 species